GGGCCCAUAGCUCAGUUGGCUAGAGCGCACGGCUGAUAACCGUGAGGUCACUGGUUCGAAUCCAGUUGGGCCCACCA
rnacentral:tRNA from 2 species